ensembl:lncRNA LINC02362 long intergenic non-protein coding RNA 2362
AGAACCCCAGCUGCAAGUGAGACUGGAAAAAUGGCUCUCAGAGUUCCCGCCUCUGCAGUAGAGGAAGACACUCCAGAAGGAGUUGAGAAUGGGUGCUGAGUGCCUCUUCAGGAUGUCUGUCACACCUCAGGAAACCUGCCAGGAAUACCAAAGGGAGUGAAAAAUCCAAGGUUGGGAAGCCCUGGGACAUUGAAGUUACAACUGGACGAUAAAAACAGAGUUUUUUCCUUGUGACGUGACCACUGUGAUGUAAAGCUGUAUCUCCUUCAUUUCAUCAAGAAAUUCUUAAAAUUCUCCCCCAACGUGCUUUCAUCUUUCCCUUCAUUGCCAACUCUGUAAGAAGUACCACGCCUUUUCUUUGAAUCUGAUUCUCCUCCAAGAAGCAAUGCUUCUCUGAGGCUUUCACCUUUGCUCACAUCAAAGCCCCCACACUGAAUAAAUACCAUCCUUACAUGCCCUUCCAGAGACUCCACUAAUGGACGAGCUUCAUCCAGCAAAAGAUAACUGGGGAAACUUCAGCAAAAGGACUGUUGAUGAAAAUUUGCUGUAUUUGAUUAUAUAGCUAAGACUAAAACAGGGAACAUGGUUGGAAUUAUACUAAGUAAAUAUGAUAUGUUCUCACAAAGUAGAAAGAAUGCAACUAACUAAUAUAGAAGAAGAGGGAAAGUAAAAUAGUAUUGUUUACAAUUUUAUAGGUAUUGGGUGUGAGUUAAAUUAUACCACUUAAAAUGAACAGAACAGACAGUAAAAAGUGAAGUAAGAAAAAAGGACAGAGGUAUCAUAAAAGAUACAAAUUCAGAGGAAUACUUGUCAUUGAAAUUAGGGCCCACCUGGAUAAUCCAUGAUGAUCUCAUCUCAAGAUCCUUAACUUAAUGACAUCUGCAGAGACUGGUUUAUCAAAUAAGGGACUGUGGCUAUAUCGCUGACCUCAAGAAAACCUGCGGACAAAAUCUGCUAAAGAAGUAUCAGCAUCUAUUUCAAAAGUUAGCCAUUAUUUUAAGAAGACUGUGCUGGAAGACGGGUAUUUAACACAAACAGAUGCAAAAGAUACGGGGUUUCACCGUGUUGACCAGACUGAUUUUGAACUUCUGGGCUCAAUCAGUCCACCUGCCUCGGCCUCCCAAAGUGCUGAGAUUAUAGGUGUGAGCCCCUGCGCCUGGCCAGGGAUGCCGUUCUUCACUCUCCAAUUGAGCAGCCAUUAUAUAUCAGGCACUAUAGGAGUUCCUGGAGGAUACUGGUCUGAAGUUAGCAUGAUCUUGACUCAAGAAACUUAUAGUCCUGAUAAGAACUUCCACCAGAAUUCCAGAUAAGGCAGCACAGGCCUUGCUGUUUGCCCAUGCCCAUGCGGUCAGCUCUCUUGGGUACCGUGGCAUGCAGAUGCAGACACUCACCCAAGACACCCUGUAGUGCUGAUUACUGGCUGAAGACACUGAAUAUCUGAUAUAGUUUGGAUGUUUGACCCCUCCAAAUCUCAUGUUGAAACUAGAUUCCCAGUGUUGGAGGUGGGGCCCGGUGGGAGGUGUUUGGAUUGUGGGAUUGGAUCCCUUAUGGCCAUCUUGGUGCCAUCCUUGUGGUAAUGAGCAAGUUCUUUAUCUACUAGUUCCUGAGCGAUCUGGUUGCUAAAAAGAGUCUAGCAGCAUCAUCCGCUCCCUCUCCUCCUCUCUUACCAUGUGAUAUGCACACACCGGCUACCCUUCACCUACUGCUCCAGCACCACGCUUCAUGUACAGCCUGUAGAACUCUGAGCCAAAUAAACCUCUUUUCUUUAUAAA